GGAUAUUGGUCAUCUUUAUAGUGAUGUGGUAUAUCUAGAGCUAUUUAAAAGUUGCUAAACACUGAGUGUUUAGUUGCACUUAAAGGGACACUCCAAGCACCAAAACCCCUGCAGCACACUUUUUGCCCUUGUGUCACCCAUUGUAAUUAGUGAAAACAAAUUGGUGCUCUCUGCCAAUGAGCUAGCCCUGCACUGCAGGUCUUAGUUCAGGAGAUCUAGCAAAAGCUCAUUGUUGUU